UUAGGAAAGCGAGCGGCGGAUGGGUGAGUAACACGUGGGGAACCUGCCCCAUAGUCUGGGAUACCACUUGGAAACAGGUGCUAAUACCGGAUAAGAAAGCAGAUCGCAUGAUCAGCUUUUAAAAGGCGGCGUAAGCUGUCGCUAUGGGAUGGCCCCGCGGUGCAUUAGCUAGUUGGUAAGGUAAAGGCUUACCAAGGCGAUGAUGCAUAGCCGAGUUGAGAGACUGAUCGGCCACAUUGGGACUGAGACACGGCCCAAACUCCUACGGGAGGCAGCAGUAGGGAAUCUUCCACAAUGGACGCAAGUCUGAUGGAGCAACGCCGCGUGAGUGAAGAAGGUUUUCGGAUCGUAAAGCUCUGUUGUUGGUGAAGAAGGAUAGAGGUAGUAACUGGCCUUUAUUUGACGGUAAUCAACCAGAAAGUCACGGCUAACUACGUGCCAGCAGCCGCGGUAAUACGUAGGUGGCAAGCGUUGUCCGGAUUUAUUGGGCGUAAAGCGAGCGCAGGCGGAAGAAUAAGUCUGAUGUGAAAGCCCUCGGCUUAACCGAGGAACUGCAUCGGAAACUGUUUUUCUUGAGUGCAGAAGAGGAGAGUGGAACUCCAUGUGUAGCGGUGGAAUGCGUAGAUAUAUGGAAGAACACCAGUGGCGAAGGCGGCUCUCUGGUCUGCAACUGACGCUGAGGCUCGAAAGCAUGGGUAGCGAACAGGAUUAGAUACCCUGGUAGUCCAUGCCGUAAACGAUGAGUGCUAAGUGUUGGGAGGUUU
rnacentral:rRNA from 1 species